rnacentral:rRNA from 1 species
UACGUAGGGUGCAAGCGUUGUCCGGAAUUAUUGGGCGUAAAGAGCGUGUAGGCGGCCCGAUUAGUCCGCUGUGAAAGUCCAGGGCUCAACCCUGGAAUGCCGGUGGAUACUGUCGGGCUAGAGUCCGGAAGGGGCGAGUGGAAUUCCUGGUGUAGCGGUGAAAUGCGCAGAUAUCAGGAGGAACACCAAUGGCGAAGGCAGCUCGCUGGGACGUGACUGACGCUGAGACGCGAAAGCGUGGGAGCAAACAGG